rnacentral:rRNA from 1 species
UACGGAGGGGGCUAGCGUUGUUCGGAAUUACUGGGCGUAAAGCGCGCGCAGGCGGCUAUCCAAGUCAGUGGUGAAAGCCCGGAGCUCAACUCCGGAACUGCCAUUGAAACUGUUUAGCUUGAGGACGAGAGAGGUGAGUGGAAUUCCCAGUGUAGAGGUGAAAUUCGUAGAUAUUGGGAAGAACACCGGUGGCGAAGGCGGCUCACUGGCUCGUAUCUGACGCUCAGGCGCGACAGCGUGGGGAUCAAACAGG